rnacentral:rRNA from 1 species
GUCUAGAGGCUUCGGCAAUGGGGGCAACCCUGACCGAGCGACGCCGCGUGCGGGAUGAAGGCGUUUUCGUUGUAAACCGCUGUGGAGAGGGAAGAAUGCCCGGAUGGUGAAUCCGGGAGGGACGGUACCUCUUCAGAAAGCCCCGGCUAACUCCGUGCCAGCAGCCGCGGUAAUACGGAGGGGGCAAGCGUUGUUCGGAUUUACUGGGCGUAAAGGGAGUGUAGGCUGUCAGCCAAGUCCGAUGUGAAAUCCUUACCACUCAACGGAAGGGGGUCAUUGGAAACUGGCUGGCUAGAGUGAGGCAGAGGCAAGCGGAAUUCUCGGUGUAGCGGUGGAAUGUGUAGAUAUCGGGAAGAACAUCUGUGGCGAAGGCGGCUUGCUGGGCCUCUACUGACGCUGAGACUCGAAAGCGUGGGGAGCAAACGGGAUUAGAUACCCUGGUAGUCC